rnacentral:rRNA from 1 species
ACUCCUACGGGAGGCAGCAGUGGGGAAUAUUGCACAAUGGGCGCAAGCCUGAUGCAGCCAUGCCGCGUGUGUGAAGAAGGCCUUCGGGUUGUAAAGCACUUUCAGUUGUGAGGAAGGUGGUGUCGUUAAUAGCGGCAUCAUUUGACGUUAGCAACAGAAGAAGCACCGGCUAACUCCGUGCCAGCAGCCGCGGUAAUACGGAGGGUGCGAGCGUUAAUCGGAAUUACUGGGCGUAAAGCGCAUGCAGGUGGUUUGUUAAGUCAGAUGUGAAAGCCCGGGGCUCAACCUCGGAACUGCAUUUGAAACUGGCAGACUAGAGUACUGUAGAGGGGGGUAGAAUUUCAGGUGUAGCGGUGAAAUGCGUAGAGAUACUGAAGGAAUACCGGUGGCGAAGGCGGCCCCCUGGACAGAUACUGACACUCAGAUGCGAAAGCGUGGGGAGCAAACAGGAUUAGAU